rnacentral:rRNA from 1 species
CGGUCCUUGACAUACUAAGAACUUUCCAGAGAUGGAUUGGUGCCUUCGGGAACUUAGAUACAGGUGCUGCAUGGCUGUCGUCAGCUCGUGUCGUGAGAUGUUGGGUUAAGUCCCGNAACGAGCGCAACCCUUUUCCUAUUUGCCAGCGGGUCAUGCCGGGAACUUUAAGGAUACUGCCAGUGACAAACUGGAGGAAGGCGGGGACGACGUCAAGUCAUCAUGGCCCUUACGGCCAGGGCUACACACGUGCUACAAUGGUCGGUACAAAGGGUUGCUACCUCGCGAGAGGAUGCUAAUCUCAAAAAGCCGAUCGUAGUCCGGAUCGCAGUCUGCAACUCGACUGCGUGAAGUCGGAAUCGCUAGUAAUCGCGGAUCAGAAUGCCGCGGUGAAUACGUUCCCGGGCCUUGUACACACCGCCCGUCACACCAUGGGAGUUUGUUGCACCAGAAGUAGGUAGUCUAACCGCAAGGAGGACGCUUACCACGGCGUGGCCGAUGACUGGGGUGAAGUCGUAACAAGGUAGGCGUAGAUGA